GCUUUUGACUUCCGCACUACAACGAGAAAUGAGCCUUUCCUGCAGCUUUUCCAUUGCCUUUACGCAUAUCCUUUAACUGUUAGUUUGAGUAGGAAGAGGAAUCUAUUCAUACGGGUUGAAUUAAGGAAGGAUGACACCGAUAUCCGUAGACAGCCCUUGGAGGCUAUGUAUCCAAGAGAAUCGGGUUCAUCACUUCUGAAGUGGGCUCACACACAAGUAGCUGUGGGAGCUAGGGUGGCCUGUUACCAUGAUGAGAUUAAGAUUUCUCUCCCUGCCAUCUGGACACCAUUGCAUCAUCUCCUGUUCACUUUCUUCCAUGUUGAUCUUCAGACAAAACUAGAAGCUCCAAAACCAGUAGUUAUUGGAUAUGCAUCGCUUCCAUUAUCUACACAUGCUCAGUAAGUAUAUG